CCUACGGGAGGCAGCAGUAAGGAAUAUUGGUCAAUGGGGGAAACCCUGAACCAGCCAUGCCGCGUGCAGGAAGACGGCCCUACGGGUUGUAAACUGCUUUUGCACGGGAAUAACCCUCAUUAUGUAUAAUGAGCUGAAUGUACCGUGAGAAUAAGGAUCGGCUAACUCCGUGCCAGCAGCCGCGGUAAU
rnacentral:rRNA from 1 species